rnacentral:rRNA from 1 species
UACGGAGGGUGCAAGCGUUAAUCGGAAUUACUGGGCGUAAAGGGGUGCGUAGGUGGUUCGCUAAGUCCGUUGUGAAAGCCCCGAGCUCAACUUGGGAAUUGCAGUGGAUACUGGCGAGCUAGAGUGCGGUAGAGGAAGGUGGAAUUCCCGGUGUAGCGGUGAAAUGCGUAGAGAUCGGGAGGAACACCAGUGGCGAAGGCAGCCCCCUGGGCUGAGAUUGACGCUCAGGCACGAAAGCGUGGGGAGCAAACAGGG